rnacentral:rRNA from 1 species
UCUGGUAUGAAAGGUUUGACGAGAUUUAGACUUUCUAAAUUUAAAUAUUUUAAUUUUAUAAUUAAGUUAAAAAGCUUAAAUUAGAUUAAGGGACGAGAAGACCCUAUAGAAUUUUAUAUUAAUUGUUUGAAUUAUAUUUAUUGAAUUAAUGAUAAAUAAUUAAUAUUUGAUUGGGAGGAUUGUUAAAUUUAAAUAACUUUAAAAUUAUUUUUAAAUAUUAAUAAUAGGUGAAGAAUGGCUAUAAGAAAAUU